CAAAAGAGAAGAUGCUCAGAAUAAGGGUCACAAACACAAUUCUCCCUUAUUUAAAGAACUGUUUUAUGGAAUAAGUGUUAGACUUCUUGGUGGUUUUGAGUAUCAUUGGAUCAAUGGGUCCAAGUGAGAGAAGCUAUUUUUUGUCCCAGAGUGCCCCAGAGUGAUUUUUGCGGUGAUGGGUGUGAGGUCUCAGUUCCUGGAGGAAGUGAGCAGAAUUAACAUUUAAAUACUUGUUGAACUUGUAAUUUCCAUCCCUGAGGUCAGACAGGCAGCUGUUCAAUCCCACUGUCAACACACACCAAUUGACUCCACUGUGACCAGUUAGGUAACCUGACUCCCAGCUUUCUCACAUGUAAACGGCAGUAAUAAACAUGCCUGUUUUAUAGGGUUAUAAAAAAUUACAUGAGGUAUUGGGUGAAAAAAAUGUUUAGCACGGGAUCUGGUAUACAGGACGUACUCUCUAUAUUUUGAUGUGUUUGUUUAUUAUUAGCAUGUGCUGAAGUCAUAGUUAUACAACUUUGGAACUGGGGGAAGCCUUAUAGGUCAUUCAGGCCAAACGGAUUACUUGAUGGAUGGGGAAGGUGAAGCAAGGAGAAGUGGCUUGCCCAAUAUCACACAGUUUACCAUUCGAUCAAAUCUGGAGCCCAGCAGCUCUACCUCACGGGGAUCCAGUUGCCAGGCUGAGUCCGCAGCAUUUCUUAUCAAAAUAGAAGACGUGGCUUUAUGAAGAGGAUGAGCAGAGGACUAGGAGAAGCCAGGCUGACGUCCUGGCUCUGCCUCGUAAAGCUGCCCUUGAUUGAAAGGAUCUCAAACCCACUUGAAGCAGUUGCUCAAAUUUUGGCUUCAUGACAUGCCAACUGUACCAAUGUUAGGUAAGGAGUGGGAAAACUCUGGGCUGGCUUCCAGGGUACCUACUCAGCUGUCCUAUAUCACCAACAAAUGUACUGUGUAAGACAACCUUGGCCAAGCUUCCUCUUUCAACCAAGCCUCAGUUUCCCUCUCUGAAAAAUGAGCCAUAUUUGACCCGUUGACGCCUGGCCCACACCAGUGAGAAUGUGACUGAAAAGUGCUUUCAACAGUUGAGAGAGUUUUACCCCCCCUAGGAGGGUAUAUGUAUUACUCUUAUUUGACCACUCUGGAUAGAGGAAGUAACAUCACGUGGCCCUCCAACUGCUCUCCCUCCUAAAAUAUACUUGUUUAGAAAGACAAACAAAAUAGGAAUUGUCCAAGAAAGACAAUGGAAAGAGUAUUUAUGCCCAUUAUCUGUAGUGGUUAAUAUUAUAUCAACUUGGCGGAUGUUUUUGGAUGAGUUUUACAUUUAAUCAGUGAACUUUGAGUAAGCAGGUGAGACCGUGAAUAGCACAAAAAGACCAGUCUCCUGGAGCAAGAGAGAAUUCUGUCAAACUACCUUCAGAGUUCGUCUGUACCAUCAGCUCUGCUGGAUCCUGAAACUGCUUGUCGACAGACAGAAUUGGGACUCACCAGGCUCCAUAACCGUAGCCAUCUGGGGAGCCACUGAUGCAAGCUCACGUUUCCACACACCCAGAUUUCCUGAGGGAGCACCUUGGAGAUGCUCAGUGAGGCAUGUGAGAGAGAAUGGAUUACAGGCCAAAGAGUUACCUCCAUGAUGCCUGGCAUGAAGAAUAGUACAGGGGUUUACACUUAAAUGGAGGCCGAGCUCCAGCCUCAAGGCUCUAGUCAAGAAGGCACCCUCGAUGGAGUCGGUGGUAUCAGCAAACUCUGGCAGGAUCUGCCUCUGCUCCUCCAAGAAGGGCCCCUGGAAUCACCUCCGGAGAGCUCUUCGGUGAGACAGAUCGUCACCACCCUGCCCCAUGCUGCAACCAGGAAGCAUUCAGAAGGGCAGCAGCUACAGGGGCAGCAGUGCCAUUUGCUUCCUGCCUUUCUGCCCAGCCCUCUGUUGUCCGCCCCGGGUUGGUAAUGACAAGUGUCUCCCUCCCUCUCCAUGGGCUUAUCCGUCAUUUAUCUUCUCUUGGGAAGUCAGAGUCACGCUGGCUGGAGAUGAGUGGAAGCUCCCCAAGAGUGGUCUUGUUUAUUACCGGCCUCUGGGCCCCAGACACCCAGAGGCACAGCAGCCAGAGGUGGCCCAAAGUGGGGUUAGGAAAAGGCACGACAAUGGAAAACCUCCUCACCACUGCUUUGCCUGUGGUCAUCAUUAGCAGGCACGUGGGGCUAAUAACGAAGUCUUCCUCCAUGCAGUGAUGGUGGCCUCAUGACACCAGCAUCCUUGCUGCAAAGCCAGUGAACAGGCACCCUCAGGUCCGAGAUGGUCCCCGCUGUGAGGAGGGUACUGAAGAGUUUGCAAAGGGCUUUCCCAUGCGCUGCCUCAUUUGAGCUCCCUCCCACCAGUGUUGGAAUGAAUACCUUAAGGAGCUGAGGACCUGACGGGAGAAAAUGUUAAUAAUGAAUACUUUCCUAUCUUGCUUACCAAACCUCUCUCACAAAAUGUGUACUUUGUUAAAGCUGUAUUUCAAUUCCAGAUGUGAUGGAAUGAGGCAAGUACUGGGUUUUAGCCAGGUGCCAGCUACUACGUUUGGCCAACUGCUCAAGCGGAGUCAUUUAGUUCAUAUGGUGCCCCGCAAACAAUAUCAUCAGUAUCAUGAAAUAAACGGGAAAACUGAGGCUCAGACAGUUUACAUAAAAUAAUCUCGCGAGACUUCGAGAAGGGACCAGUGCACCUGCAUGCUGCCAUUACAGGCAUAAGCCAAGAAAUCAGCUGAUGACCUCAAAUUCAUCUUUGCACCGGCCUCCUGAUGGUGAACUUCUUAAGAUCGAAAAUGAAUCUACAUUUUCUCCUGGGCUGAGUCUCCUGGUUUCAAAAGGAAACCAAUCUCAGCUUUCUUGACUUUGGAAUCAGGCUAAACCUGGAGGGUGAUUCUCCCUUUGUUGUGGAAGAACUCUGACCCUUCUUUGUGUUGUUCAGCUCUCCUGAGAGGACUUGGCCUAUGGUUGCUCCAUCCCACAUUGGUUUUCCUCCAGGGGAAGGAAGAAAAAUAUCUCCCCACUCCAUUUUUUACUCCUUUUCAGUCCCAUCCUGGAUGGCCCCAUCCCAGGCGCAGAUGCAUGUACUUAGAAACAUGAAUUCUAGGUUUUUCUAUUCCCAUUUUGGGAAGAUAUUUUAGUAGAAAUUUAAGUCCAGUUCCUACUUAGUGCAGGAAUCACCUCCAGAGUCAGGGAGAUCACUAUGUGGUCAAGUAUCCUUUCCCUUUGCUGGACAUUUUGAAUUCAGUAAUAUCUCAUCACCCUCUAACACUGUAAUGCUGCACAAUAACGUUAUAAGAUGAUUAGCUCAGAACAGAGACUAUAAAUUAUUUGAGGACAGGAAUUAUAUCUGGUUUGUCCACCCCCUGAUUUUUGAGCUUUGACCCACUACCUAGCACAUGUAGUUUCUCUUCACAUAUUUGUUGAGUGAAUAAAUUCAUUGGCUUCCUCUUGUUGGACUUGGGUUGAAGGAAAGAUUAAGAAUGAACUGAUCCUAAGAACUGAUCCUAAGAACUGAUCCUAAAUCUUGAAUUCUGUUGUUGGACAGUUUUAGGGACUUCCAAGGAAAAUAUAUGACAGGUAUCACAUGACAAACUCUUAUUUUUUUUCCAAAUUCUAGUGACAAAGAAACAGAUCAAGAGACUUACCUUGUGUCCUAUUCUCAAACCUAAAUCUGAAUCACACAGCUUCCCAUUCCAAAGGGGAGGAAAGGCCUGCCCAUAACUUGCCAAACGUCACCAAGAAGGAAUUUCCCCUGAACAGGCUUACAUCUCUAUAAACAAGACCAGUCAGUGCUCUUGGCCUUGACCAUUCCAUAGUAACAAGCCUUCUUAAUUUGUUAUUUAAAGCUCUCCAUGGUCAAACUAUUUCAAAGACUCUCAUCAAACUAACACAGAAUUCAAAACCAACCUCCGAUACACCCUCAAAUGAGUCCUCCCACAUCCAGCUGGACUGGUCUACUCAGUAUGUGCCAAGCACCCCAACACAUUCUUCUCUCCUAAUCUUGGCUACUAAGUCCCCCCCCCCCCACCGUCGUUGUUUCUUCGACCAGCCCAGUGUUCCUCCGCUCCCUGAAUUCAGCCUUGACUUUUCCUCCUCAGAUGUAGAGGAAGACACCAAGGAAAAAUCACCUGUACUCUCUCUAACCCAAACCUCCCCUGCCAAUCAGUGCCCAGGAUAGGGGUGCCCUGAGUUCAGUGAGAAGAAGGAUCUGGAUUCUACACUUUCUAAUUAUAAAAAUUGGGCCCACUCACUUUACCUUCCCAAAUUCCAUUGUCCUCCUCUAGAAAAUGGGGAUAAUUUCUACUUCACAAAGUUGUAUGUAUUAAGUAAUACUUAGUGUUCACCCAAUAGGCCUUUACCAAGGGCUUUCUAGAAGUCUGAUGCACAGUGACUGAUAUAAAGUAGGUGAUUACUAAAUACUACUGGCUAUUAUAUUAAAUAUUUAUCAAGUAGUUUUGUAGGACUUGUCUAGUUAGGGAAAAUAAUUAUUAGGUUGAACAUAGAAUCUGCUUCCAGAGCCUUCUUUUCUCCUUGUCUUUGUUUGACUCAGUACUGGACACAAAAGAAAAGAAAUAGAAGCAGAUUGAUGACUUAACAGUUUAUGUUCAAUAUCCCAUAUGUUAUCCACAUUGUGUGUCCAACCAUUUGGAAUCCUAUUGGAUGCACGACUGAAACAUCUGGAAUCAAAAUAGUAGGUGUGAGUACGAAUGUUUUCCUUUUUUUUUUUUUUUUUUUUUUUUUGCAUUGGUCAAGUAACAUUUUUCAGGUGACAUUUCAUUAAACCAGCCUGAAAGUCUAUCUAAGAGAACAGACUUGUGACAGACAUGGUAAUUAGCUUGAAAUAUGUGAAAGCCUCUCAUAAAACAUGAAUUAGACCUUGUCUGUGUGUCCUUAGGGGAGAAUCACCACUGGCAGGUGGACGUCCCUUCAGAAUGAUGUGUAUGUGUCUUUGGUUGGGAGUGGGAACCACUGACUUGACAGGCUGGGACACAAACUGUCAUGAUUCCAGCAGGGAUCAAGACUGAGAGAAAGAGAAGUAAAACACUUUCCAUUUAAUAAUGGAGCUUCCAUUGACUCCACUUCUAAGUGAGCAAUUGAUUCCAUUUUUAAUUGAGUAAAACCCAUUUUACCUGAAUCACUCCCAGGAACUUCACAGACAUACUUAACACGUGCCUGCACACACACACGCACACUCGCACACAAAACUGAUGUUUGUCCUUGGGAGCGAAUCCUAUUUUAAUAGGUCCUAUUAAGAGGAACCGUCAGCUACAGCAUUCACAAGAGAAUAGAGAAAAGGAACCCUCAAAAGGCAGCUCCACGUUCUGCUUCCCCUAGGGACCCAGCACCCAUCCUGUGCCCGCCUGUCUAUGAAAUUUGAUUGAUGACCACCAUUAUGAGGGUUUGGAUUGCUAAGACCACAUCAUUAAAGCUUAAGUCAUUUUAUAUCAGGAAAGGGGGGGAAAAUCUUCCUCCACGAAGAGGAAAGUUUUCCUAGAAGGAGGUGGGGUUCGAGUCGAGAUUUGGAUGGAGACCCUUGGACAAUGAGACCCCUGAUAUGACAGAGGAGGAAAUAGUCGAAUCUGAAGAUGCAGGUCCCAGGCUGAAAACUUAAAAGUGGCCACAGAGGCUCUUCACAUGUCUUUAAGUGUCUUCAUCUUUGAGAUUUAAGGCAACGUUCACCUAUGCUACAAUUAUACUUUCCUCCUCUCUAUAUAUAAUUCUCUUCCAAAAUCAACAAAAAUCUUUAGAAAAGAGGGUUGUCACUAUAGACCCAGAAAUACUGGUCUCGAGCAAAUGAAGAAACAGUGGUGAGAGAGGAGGGGGCGCCCUCGUGCCCAUCUGUACCUUCUGCUGUCUCUAUGUCCCUUCUCUACAAUCAGUCUGACAGGGUGUUGCUAGACAAAAGAACCAUCAAGAGAGGCAAAUAAUUUCCCAACCUGAAUUGGGCUGGCUUUGUGAUUUGCUUUGACCAAUAGAAAUGUGGCAGAAACAAUGUGCUCUUUUCAAUAGCCUUAAGAGACCCUACUCCCUUUUCACCCCCUUAGAAAACUGCCUCAGAGACCACCAGGGGAGGAAUGUCAGUUUAGCACAAUGAAGAAAGGGCAGGCAUGUGAAGGAAGGCCAAAGAAUCCCAGGCAACUGUCAGCACUCACUGCAGAACAUGAGAGUGAGGUCAUCUUGCCCUUUCCUCCCCAGCCCAGCUUUCCAUCUGAAUGCACCACGUCGAGGCCCAGGAGAAACCAGCAGAGGAACGUCCCUACCAACAUUCAGAAUCAUAACAAAUGACGAUUUGUUCUUGUUUUAAGCCACUACGUUUCAGGGAGACUUACUAAGCAUCAGCCCUAUUGGAACAUGAGCCCCAGAUGAUGCCCAGGGGAAUGGAAGACCAACCAUAGAAAAGCCAGAGGCACUAAGAGAACUCCCAGUGCCAAGCAGCACUCCAGAGGGGGCAUAGCCAUGAGCAAAGAGAGGAAGGAACCUGCAUGAAUUAGAGAAUGCUGCUCUCUGGAAGGAGAAAGAAAUCGACUGAGCAGACACCUAAGGCACUAAUGAAAGAAGGAACGUUCUAGCAGAAUUGUUUAAGAAUGGAAUGGACUGCUUUAUUAGGUGCUGAGUUCUCUAGCAUCAGGUGUAUUCAAGAAUAGGCAAGAGGGGUGAUUGAAGGGCAGGCUUAAGCACUAUGUCAUUGGCUCUCUGAGAUCACUUCCAACACCAGUCAUCCGUCAGGUUCUCUAAGUCCUAUUUGAGAAGAUGGCAGCAUAAGCAGAAUGAUGUCAAUAAAUCUGUCAUGUUAUCUUGAAAAGAGACUCUGGUUUAACAAAAGCAGCAGUAAAGUGUAUGUGAGCGAGACAGCUCCUCUGCGUGUGUGGUUUAUGGACAUUAAUCUGGCCAGGCUGGUCGGAACACACACACACACACACACACACGUACCCACAACAGCCACCAAAGGACUGUGAGAAUGGUUACUGGAAAAACAUUCAGCUCAAAAACGAGGCCCUUGGGCAGACAUUACAUCUUUUUUGAGUCUCUUUUUUGGUGGUCAGGCCCUGUUGUUGCCAUUAAGUGAAUUUGAAACACGAUCAUAAUAAUGACAACAGCAGUAAUAAUAACUGGAACAGGCACCCAGCUCCCCACUGGCCUCUUACUGCCUGCAACAGAUCUGCCGUUGAGAUGAGCUGUCUCUCUCCCCCCUUCAGAAAGCCUUCAUGAAAUGCCGAGCCAUGUGUUUGGUGCAAUAGCAAAGCGUCGCUUCCACCCAGAAGCAGGUGGACCCUCUUAAAAUCUCCUUAUAAGACAGGCUCCAGGCUUGAUGUGUGCUCAUCACACUGCCUUUCACGGACACUCUAAGGUGGAGAAUUAAACCUUGUAACAUGCUCGUCAAAGGCUGUGCUGAUUUUCUUUUUUUUUAAGGAAACGCAGCGAGGCUCCCAAGACUCAGUUUUCUCAUUUCUAACUCCAUCUCCCCACCCUCACUGGGUAAGGAGAGCUCAGAAGUAGAAAACACUUGGAAGAGAACAAUUUGAAAUUCCAUCAACAAACUCUUUAGGGUUUAACUGCGUGCAGGAGAACCGUAUUUCAAAGCAAAUAAAAAGGAGCCCGGCAAAAAUAUGUCCAAGGGAAGAAACAAAGGGUGACUAGUGAGAAACACGCACUUAACUGUUCUCAAAACAAUUAAACCUCAGGAAUAAAUAAAGGUAGGGUCUUCCCUUGAGAAAUAGAGCCUGUUCA